rnacentral:tRNA from 1 species
AUUCAGAUAGUUUAAAUUUUAAAACAAUGAUUUGUGGUAUCAUUGAUAUGUAAUUAAUACAUUGUUACAUUCUGGGUA